CCCUUAGAUGUCCUGGGCUGCACGCGCGCUACACUGAUGCCUUCAACAAGCGUUGACCUUGUCUGACAGGGCUGGGUAACCCCGCCAAAGUGCAUCGUGAUGGGGUCAGACUAUUGCAAUUAUUACUCUUUAACGAGGAAUUCCUAGUACGCGUGAGUCAUCAGCUCGCACUGACUACGUCCCUGCCCUUUGUACACACCGCCCGUCGCUCCUACCGAUUGGGUGAUCCGGUGAAUAAUUUGGAAUGCUGCUUGCCUGCAGCUUGUGGGCACUUCGGCUGUAAGUCUGGUGAACCUUAUCACUUAGAGGAAGGAGAAGUCGUAACA
rnacentral:rRNA from 1 species